GUGCCCUUUUAAGGCUGACUUAGUCCCUUAAGAGGCUAACAUAGGAGGGUAAAGGAAGUCUCCAUAAAACCCAGAGAAGAGAUUUUUAGAACUCCUCUCUGGAUCCUGUCUGGAGUCACAACU
rnacentral:snoRNA from 1 species